CCGAGAUCCAUCUCCACGUCGAAGCCGCGUCGCCAGCCGAACGCGUCUGCAAAUCGGAGCCGCGAACGCGCCUACACCCGAGCCGCACCGAAGCCGCGAACGCGCCUGCCUCCAGCCGACGGACGAAACCGAACCCGGAACCACCACCCGCGCGUCCGAACCCGGAACCGCCCGCGCGCCCGAAACCGAAACCCGCGUCCGCGCCACACGUGCCCAGCUCUCCCCGCGUGCAGCCGCGCCGCGCCGUGCGUUCCGCGUAGCCGAGCCGCGCCCCCUCCUUGUAGCAAGCCGAGCCGCACGCGAAGUCCCUGUACCGAGCCAAGCCGCGCCUACGCCAAGCCGAGCCGGUCCUGUCUUCUUCCAGUCGAGCCGCCAAGCCUGUUUUGGCUCCUUCCACCUAAAUUUUUGGUAAUUUCCAAAUUCCCUAGCCUGCCCAGUAAUUAAAUGAGUUAAUUUGGAAAUUUAAUUAAUUUAAUUACUUUCCUCAAGAAGCAAAUUGGACCAAAUAGCUGCUGCAGCUUAGGACUUCCUCAGUAGGAACUCAUCUAGCAACAUCUCGAGGUAGAGGACGAGGUAAGGGCAAGGGCAAACUGGCGAGCGACUCGAAGUGAGACCGUGAAGGGCCAUAGGGGCUACCGCUUCCGCUUACCUUUAUUUCAGAUUUUCGCACUUGAGUUCGAGUACUUUCAUUAUUUACCAUCUUUAUGUAGAUAGGGCCCGCUUAGGGAUUUUAAACUUAACUCGUAUUUCUACAUGUUACUUUAACUAUCUUUCAUAAAUAAAUUUGCUAGAUUUCUUUGCAUUUA